rnacentral:rRNA from 1 species
UACGUAGGGGGCUAGCGUUGUCCGGAAUCAUUGGGCGUAAAGCGCGUGUAGGCGGUCCGGUAAGUCCGCUGUGAAAGUCGGGGGGUCAACCCUCGGAUGCCGGUGGAUACUGUCGGGCUUGAGUACGGAAGAGGCGAGUGGAAUUCCUGGUGUAGCGGUGAAAUGCGCAGAUAUCAGGAGGAACACCGGUGGCGAAGGCGCCACUCGUGGGCCGGUACUGACGCUGAGGGUGCGAAAGCGUGGGGGAGCAAACAGG